CCUACGGGGGGCAGCAGUGGGGAAUUGUUCGCAAUGGGCGCAAGCCUGACGACGCAACGCCGCGUGGAGGACGAAGAUCUUCGGAUCGUAAACUCCUGUCGAGCGGGACGAACGGUCCGCGACCCAACACGUCGCGGGAGUGACGGUACCGCUAAAGGAAGCCCCGGCUAACUCCGUGCCAGCAGCCGCGGUAAUACGGGGGGGGCCAGCGUUGUUCGGAAUUACUGGGCGUAAAGGGCGCGUAGGCGGCCACCGAAGUCGGACGUGAAAUCCCUCGGCU
rnacentral:rRNA from 1 species